GCGGGGGUAACAAAGCUUGGCUAAAUGUGCGGGACUCAAGAUCCCGUCCCUCAGGGGUUCGUGGGUUCGAAUCCCACCCCCCGCA
rnacentral:tRNA from 1 species